UGUCUUUUCAAGAAUAUACGAUCAAAUUGAAACCAUAUAGAAAAAAUUAAAAUGACAAUACACAAGGAUCACACACUUAAACAGAAAUGAAUAUGUUUUGU
rnacentral:snRNA from 1 species